rnacentral:rRNA from 1 species
AACAUUGAGAAUUAUUAUUUUUUGUUCUUUAAAAUAUUAUGGUUUUUAUUAUUCAAAAAAUUUUUUUAUGAUAGUUGAUUUUUACAGUGGUGGAGUUUAUAAAGUUUAAAAAAGAAAAAUUUAUUUUUUGUACCUUUUGUAUCAGGGUUUAUUAAAUAAUAUGUAAGGAUUUAUUUUUCCCGAAUUUUUAAGGGCUAAUAAAAUAUAUAUUUUACUGUUGAAAAAGUAUUUAUAAUUUUUUAUUAGAAAUAAGAUGUUAUUCGAUUAUUAAUAUAUCUGGUUCUUAGAGAAACAAAUUUAAUUUGUUAAAUAAGAGUGAAAUUAUUUUUUAUUAUUUUACUUUCUUAUUUGGCUAUAUUUAUGGGGAUGAGCUCAUAUUUUUUUUAUAAGGUUUUAUUUUUAUUUUGUUUGUAGGAUUAGAAUUUUUCAUCAUUAAGAGUAUGUAAUAAUUUACUUUUUUAAUUUAUUAUUUUUAUUUUCUUUAAUUAAUUUAUUUAAGUUUAAAAUUUAAUUUUUUGGUUUUGGUAAUAAUGAUAAAAUUAGUAAUUUUUUUGUAUAUUUGAUUUUUUAUAAAAGAGUGGGGAAAGGAAUUCGGCAAAAUAGUUUUUCGCCUGUUUACUAAAAACAUGUCUUUUUGAUGUUUAUUUAAAGUCUAGCCUGCUCCCUGAGGUGUUUAAGAGCCGCAGUAUUUUGACUGUGCGAAGGUAGCAUAAUAAUUAGUUUUUUAAUUGGGAACUGGAAUGAAUGGUUGGACGAGAUAACUACUGUCUCUCUCCUAUUUAAUUGAAUUUUAUUUUUGAGUUAAAAAGCUCAAAUUUUUUUAAAAGACGAGAAGACCCUAUAGAGUUUUAUUACUUGAUUUAUAAAAUUUUGGAAUUAAAAUUUUUAAUAUUAAAGGUAAUUUGGUUGGGGUGAUUGGGAAAUUAAAAAAACUUUCUUUUUAUUUUUACAUUGAUUUAUGGAAAAGUGAUCCAUUUUUUGUGAUUAAAAGAUAAAAUUACCUUAGGGAUAACAGCGUAAUUUUUUUUGAGAGUUCUUAUCGAAAAAAAAGUUUGCGACCUCGAUGUUGGAUUAAAAUUAAUUUUUGGUGUAGAAGCUAAAAUAUUGAGUCUGUUCGACUUUUAAAAUUUUACAUGAUCUGAGUUUAGACCGGCGUGAGCCAGGUUAGUUUCUAUCUUUAGAUUAGUUAUUUUCUCUAGUACGAAAGGACCGAGGAGGUAUUUGAUAAAUUUUUUUUGAAUAC